GACGAACGCUGGCGGCGUGCUUAACACAUGCAAGUCGAACGGAAAGGCCCUGCUUUUGUGGGGUGCUCGAGUGGCGAACGGGUGAGUAACACGGGAGUAACCUGCCCUUGACUUUGGGAUGACUUCAGGAAACUGGGGCUAAUACCGGCUAGGAGCUCCUGCUGCAUGGUGGGGGUUGGAAAGUUUCGGCGGUGGGGGAUGGACUCGCGGCUUAUCAGCUUGUUGGUGGGGUAGUGGCUUACCAAGGCUUUGACGGGUAGCCGGCCUGAGAGGUUGACCGGCCACAUUGGGACUGAGAUACGGCCCAGACUCCUACGUGAGGCAGCAGUGGGGAAUAUUGCACAAUGGGCGGAAGCCUGAUGCAGCAACGCCGCGUGCGGGAUGACGGCCUUCGGGGUGUAAACCGCUGUCGCCUGUGACGAAGCGUGAGUGACGGUAAUGGGUAAAGAAGCACCGGCUAACUACGUG
rnacentral:rRNA from 1 species